AUGCUAUCGGGUCCGCCGGAGACGCCCAAAGUUGCCAAGCACGCGAAGAAAUCCGUUGGAUCAAGCAAUACGAAAACUCACCAAACGAGGAUGAAAGAUGGGAUCUCCGAGCACCAAGUCGGUGGUGGGGUUUGAUCAUUGAUGCCUAAUUAGAUCAUUGAUGCUUGUAAAAAUACUACUCAAAAAUCGGUUAAGUAGAAUCACGAGACUAAUUAGAUCAUUGAUGCCUAAAAUAAUAUUCUUAUUUAUUCAAAAUAAUGUCAAUUUAAUAUUGUGAUCGUUAUAGCUUAUAAUUGCAACUUCUACCUUGCAACUUAUUAGAAUCUUUAUGGUCAAAAUAUCAAUCAUCUCAACACUCUAAAACCAUCCACUCUAAAACCAUCGCAAGUAGUAUCCAAUGUUAUGACUUCAGUCACACUUAAGAUAAAAUAAUUUAAGUCUAUGAUAUAUGCUAUCAUAAUGAGAUAAAUAUACUAAAAUAUAUUUGGCAUGUAAUAUUGGAGACCUAGUAAGACUACUUAAAUGGCAAUCACACGUAUGAAAAAUAGUCGCUUAAAAUAGUAAGCAUUUGAAAUUAAUAUUUAGCGAAAUGAUCAAUGCUUUAUGUCAAUAGUAAGUAUACUAGUAAGUAUACUAGUAUAGUAAGUAUAUUAGGAAGAAUAUGUUUGUAUAAAAAGAUUGACAUGGCUAAGUUCAAGAAAUGAAUUGAUAUCAUAACCUAACUUGAUAGUGAUCAAUACAAGCGAUAGUGCAUGGAUAUAAAUGAGACCAUGCAAGUUGGUGAUGUGUUGAUAACAAUAGAAAGAUUUAUGUAAAGGCUCGAAUAGGCAAGGGAAACUAUUGGCUCAACAAAUUUGGUACUUAUAUGAUAACUUGUAUAUGGACUAUGAAUGCCCGUAGCCAUCCUAAGGUAACUAAAGUUUGAUACCUAAAUUUUAUAGUGGGUAUAAUACACUAUUAUGUCUUAUGACUAUAGUAGAGGGUUACGAAGUAUCACAAUCUAAUAAAUGCAUUUGUUAUGACAAAAUAAUAUAUUAUUUUAUUCUCUAUAAGACGAAGUAUUCUUGAGGGAAGUUAGUCUCCCAAACUCUUGAACAAAGUAUGUGAAAAGAAUAGUUAUUCCAACAUAAUAAAUUUCUAGAUGAUAAUCAUAGAUUAAUGAUAGAGAACUCAUGUGCAGAUCACACAUUUUGGGAAGAUACUUUAAGAUAACUCGAAGGAGAUUGAAAUCAAGUGAGUGGUGAGAUGUUGUCACAAUAUCUCAGUUUAGGUUAACAUGUCAAUGCAUUUAAUAGUAAGAGAGUUAUCGAAAAUAAUAUUAAAGACAAAUGCUCACAUCGAUAGUCGAUGAAGAGAACAUUAAGCUCAUCAAAUGGUUGACCAAUAUAUCGAUGCGCGUAAGAGCAAUCAUCAUCUAAAUGUAAAUCGAGGGAUGAAAUAAUAUGUGUUUAAACUUGGCGAAUAAUUCAAGCUGCAUAAAGGUAAAACACUUGCAUUUACAAGAGCAUGACUAUGUUAUUAAUCAGACACUAUGAUGCUAAAUAAUUUGAGAGUUAUAUUAAUAUUUUUUUUUUAAUUUAGAUCAAUAAUAAAUUUAAUAAAUGAUGAAAUUUAAAAAGAUAAUAAUACUCCAGAGUCAAAAAUUAAGUUAAAGACUUGGCAAAAAUGAUAUUAAAAAAAAACUAGAGACUAGAGUUUACUACUUAAUGACCAUUGCACCUCUCUUUCUUCUCUUCUCUUGAUAAUAUAGAGUCUAAUGGCUCAUCCUCCUCAAUGAUAGGGAGUCCCUGACGCAGAGUGAGAGAGAAAUCAAUCAAUAAAUAUAAUAAGAUUUUUUUUUAUUUUGAUAAACCCCAAGAUGCAUGCAUCUUCUAAAUAUUUAAUUACCCUAAUCAAUAAUCUAGUAGAUCUUAUAUAUAUAUAUAUAUAUAUAUAUAUAUAUAUAUAUAUA
rnacentral:lncRNA from 1 species